CCCCACUCUCCUCUCCAUUCUUACGUACUUGGCACCUUCCUUCUCCUCCUCUCGCUUCCUCUCUCCGCUGAUCACCAGCACAUUGCCGUCCUCCACCUGAACCUUGAUGUCGCCGGACCUCAGCCCCGGCAUGUCGACGAUGAAGGUGUAGGAAUUCGGGUACUCCUUGACGUCAGCCAGCGUCGCCGCCAUGGCCUUGGCAUCCCGGACGUAGGUGCAAGUGGCUUAAGGUUGAGGGAUUCAAAGACCUUGUUCGAACUUGUGGCAGGGGAUCAAAGUCAGUGGCAGUGCUAGUUAUAGAUUAGCUGCUAAAAUGAAGGAAGUAAAAAAGAAGCUGAAAGUAUGGAACAAAGAGGUUUUUGGGAGGCUGGAAUGCAACAAAUCUUCAGCCCUACAACAAGUAGAUUUCUGGAAUCGGGUGGAAAGCGAGAGAAACUUGACUGUGGAGGAAACUAAAUUAAAAAAGAAGCAAAAGAAACCUAUAAAAAGUGGGUUCUGUUGGAGGAAGCUCAUUGGAGAUAGCUUUCAAGGGAGAUUUGGCUAAGGGAGGGGAAUAGAAACACGGGUUUCUUCCAUCGAAUGACAAGUAUUCAUCGUAGAAACAAUGCUUUUGACAGAAUUAAGGUUAAUGGGGAGUGGCUGUCAGAGGAGCAGGAGGUGAGGGAAGAAAUUGUUAACACAUUUCAGUAGAUGCUCUCUAAAGAUAUGGAAUGAAAGGCGAAUAUUGGAAGAAUUCAUAUUGAUCACAUCAUCCGGCAAGAAGCAGAGAGUUUGGAGGUCCCAUUUACAGAGAUUGAGAUUUAUACGGCGUUGAUGGAGAUGAAUGGGGAUAAAGCCCCUGGUCUGGAUGGCUUUACUGUAGCUUUCUGGCAAAACGCUUGGGAUUUUACCAAAGAGGAGAUUCUGGAUAUGUUUAAAAAAUUUCAUGAACAUAACUCUUUUGUUAGAAGUCUCAACAAUACUUUUUUGGUAUUGAUCCCUAAGAAAAGUGGGGUUGAGGAUCUUGGAGACUUUAGACCUAUCAGUCUCUUAGGGGGCCUUUAUAAACUUUUGGCUAAAGUUCUAGCUAAUAGGCUAAAAAAAGUGAUUAGUAAGGUGGUCUCCAUUGCCCAGAAUGCCUUUGUAACAGGAAGACAAAUUCUUGAUGCGUCAUUAAUUGCUAGUGAGGUGAUAGAUUCAUGGCAGAAGAGAAAAGAGAAGGGCCUUAUAUGCAAAUUGGAUAUAGAAAAAGCUUAUGACAACAUCAAUUGGAAAUUCUUAAUGAAGGUCUUACAAAAAAUGGGUUUUGGGGCUAAGUGGGUGGGAUGGAUGUGGAGUUGCGUGUCCUCUACCAAAUUCUUAGCUCUUGUUAAUAGAGUACCAACUGGUUUUUUCCCUAGCACUAAAGGGCUUAGACAAAGAGAUCUUCUAUCCCCUUAUCUUUUUUGUAAGGAAUUUGAGGCUAAUCCAAACUAUGCUAAUCACCCUAGAGAGGGGGGGUAAAUAGGGUGAUGGUCUCUUUUUCACAAAUUUAAACUAUGCAAAAAUAAGAGAUAAUUAUAUGCAAAUAUAUAAUAAACAAAAUAAACACAAUUACAUAUAAUUUAAAAGAGUUAGGGAAGAGAGAGUGCAAACAUGAGAGUUUAUAGUGGUUCGGCACUUCCUUGCCUACGUCCACUCUCCUCAACCUUUUAACCGAGUGAGGGUUCCACUAUCUUGAAGUUUCAACCAAACUUCCAAUCUCUUUACAAUUGGAUUAUGGUUCUAAUUCACCCUCUUAGACUUUUGGCUCCAAGCACCUUUUACACUUCUUAAGAGUUAUCCCACUCUUGAACAACCUCUCAAGUGAUACCCCUCACUUGAGAAAAUUCAUCUAAAAAAUAUACAAAGAUUGAUCUCACAAAGAUCCUAGUAAUAGAACUUUAGGCUCAAAAAUACAAGAAAAACUAGGAUUGAAUGGUACACUAAAGAUAUGCAAGUUAUGAAACAAUGGUGCACUCAAAAACACUCUUCCAAGGCUCAAAUAUAAUCAAGAAUGAUUUGGGAAGGUUAAGCUUAUGAAACAAUGAAGAUUGAAGCCUUUUUAUAGAAGAAAAAAGUCAAACUAGCCGUUGGGGGUUCGACCGGUCGAGCUAGGUGUCGACUGGUUGACUAGCCGUUAGGGAAAGUGACCGUUGGGCCUCAACCGGACCUCAACCGGUCCUCAAUUGGACCUCAACCGAACCUCAACCGAACCUCAACCGAUUGAGGUUCAACCUUGACUGGGAAGAGAAUGCCACUGGGAGAGAGAGAAACUUUUUGGCCUCCCUCAACCGGUCCUCGACCGGACGAGCACAACCGGUCGACCGGUUGAACCAGUUGAGCCAUUUUUUUGGCUCAACACUCAACCCUUUUCAACUUAAAACCUUUUAACACAAGUUUGAAAAUCAUUUAACAGAAGGUUUUAGUUGAAAACAUGAAAUCAUCCAAUUCUUAAGAUAUUUAAAACAAUAUUACUUUUGGAUGAUUUUGGUUCAUAAAUAAAUAAUGAAAUGCAUGAAAGUCCUAGUGCACCAACAACCUUACAAAGAGAUCUUAAGAAGCUUUGGUCUUGAAAAAAACUCUUCUCUUUGAGGUGGUCUUCUUCUACAUGAUUUCUCCUUGGCUUGAUUUGUCUUUGGAUUACCACUUUGGAAGUCGUCUUGCCUAAUCACACUUAAAAUGUAGUCAUUAGUUUUAAACCUUGUUUUGUUAUCAUCAAAAUCAAGAUUAACCAAACCUUGGUUUCACAUCUUUGUUAUGGGAAUGGAAGUGUUGGACGUCCUCAUCAGGAGAGCUGUGGAGGGGGGAUACUUAUCAGGAUGCAUAAUUCGGGGUGGUAGUAGACCCUCUUUGAACAUCUCCCACCUAUUUUUUGCUGAUGACACAAUAGUGUUUUGUGAGGUAAGUAAAGAGCAAUUAUCUUACCUAAGUUGGAUUCUUCUUUGGUUUGAAGCAGCUUCAGGCCUUAGAAUUAAUUUAGCCAAAAGCGAAAUCAUCCCAGUUGGAGAAGUGGAGGAGAUUCAUGAGCUGGCAGUUGAGUUAGGGUGUAGGGUGGGAUCCUUGCCCUUUCAAUAUUUGGGACUCCCUCUAGUGGUUCCUAAUAGGGCUACUUCUAUGUGGGAUGGAGUGGAAGAGAGAGUUAGGAGGAGACUUGCGCUUUGCAAAAGGCAGUACAUUUCCAAAGGGGGGAGGAUCACUCUUAUAAAAAGCACCUUGGCUAGCAUGCCAAUAUACCAAAUGUUUAUUUUUCGAAUGCCCAAGUCUGUUGCUAAAAGAGUAGAGAAAGUUCAAAGGACUUCCUAUGGGGGGAGGACACUUAGAGGGGAAAAUUCAUCUAGUUAAAUGGAAUGUGGUUUGCACAGAAAAAAACAAGGGUGGGCUAGGCUUAAGGAAAAUAGCCAUGCUAAACAGAGCCUUGCUUGGUAAGUGGAUUUGGAGGUUUGCUUGUGAAAAAGAUUAUCUUUGGAAGCAAGUGAUCACAACGAAGUAUGGGUAAGAGGAUCAUGGAUGAAGGUCAAAGAAGUCUAAUGAGGCGGUUGGAGUAGGGGUGUGGAAGGAGAUUUUGAAAGAAUCUGAUUGGUGCUGGGAUAAUCUAGUGUUUCUAGUUGGGAAGGGCUCCAAAAUCAAAUUUUGGAAAGAUACUUGGUGCACUGACACACCGCUGUCCCAUUAUAUCACUUACCUCUUUGUUCUGGUCGCGCAUAGGGACGCAACAAUUGAGGAGAUGUGAGACCAAAAUUCUGGUCAAGGAGGCUGGAACCUAAUUUUUUUUAGAGACUUUAAUGAUUGGGAGUUGGAUAUGGUUGGGAAUUUGCUUCAUAUCUUGAGGGGUCAUAGGCCUUCUUUGGAGGAAGAUUCAAUUAUGUGGAGGCGAGGAAGAAAUGGUCUCUUUAGGGUCAAGGAAGCUUAUAGGCUGCUGGACAACCCUAAUGACAUAGUUUUUCCUUCAAGGAGCAUCUGGGUGGAUGAGGUGCCAACUAAAGUUGCUUUUUUCGCUUAGGAGGCGACGUGGGGGAAGGUGCUCACUCUGGAUAGGCUCCAGAUAAGAGGAGUGCAACUCCCUAAUUAUUGUUUUUUGUGUGGUUGUGAAGAAGAAAAUGUAAAUCAUAUUCUUAUACACUAUAUAGUGGCUAGAGCUAUGUGGGAUAUUAUUCUUGGGUUAGUAGAUGUUAAAUGGGUCUUCCCAAAAACUGUAAAGGAGGUCUUAACUACCUGGAGGGGCCCAUUUGUAGGGAAGAAAAAGAAAAAUGUUUGGAAAUUCAUACUGUUGUGUAUCUUUUGGACGGUUUGGAAUGAGAGGAAUAUGUUAGCUUUUAGGGGGGGGUGUUGAAUAUCCAGAAAUUAAAGAAUUUUUUUGUUUGUAACUUAUGGAGCUAGGCCAAAGUGUAUUUAGGCGAGGAGUCUCUCUCCCUUAUAGACUUUUUGGAGUGGGUAGCAUCCACUUAAAGGGAGGUAGUCCUUUUUUAGGCUUUAACUGCCUUGUAUACUCUGUGGCUUUUAACAUUUUUCUAAUGCAUAUCUUGUUUUCUUAUAAAAAAAAAAAAAUCAUUUUGUUUUGGGGAAUAUGAAACCAUUAAAGGUCAAUGCAUCCUACGAUUUUCAUAAUAUUUUUAAAAUUCUUUUAAUGUGAAUUCAUCUCUUCUAUUAGAUUUCUUUGGUUAUUAUGAUCACUUUCCUUUUCAAUAAGUGUUUUAAAUUUAUUAAAAGCACAAAAUACUUCAAUUUUUUCCUUUAAAAAAUACAUCCAAAAUUUUAUACUAAAAUCAUGAAUGAAAAACAAAAAAUAUUUAUUCUUACAAAAAAAAAAGUUUGAAUGAAUCGGAUCACAUACAUCCGAAUAAAUAAGUUUUAGAGACUUUUUAUUCUUAUACAUGCUUCUUUUGAAAAUUAUUUUUACAGCAUGUUUCUCAAAUAAGCAUCCUUCACAUUAUUCAUUCAUUUUUGGAAAGCAAUUCUCAUAUUUUUUUUGUUCUAACAAUUUUAAUUUAUCAAAAUUAAGAUAUUCAAAUCUUAAAUGUCAAAUCCAAAAGGAAUCAUUGACAUGAGAUUUUAGACAUUUUACAAUAUCAUUUUAUAUAUUUAAAAAAUAACAUUGCAUUUCUUGUCAUAGACAUAUUUACAUGCUAUCUCUUAUUAAAAGACUUUGAUUUUUCAUAUAAAUAUCAGUCUUUUUUUAAAAACUAGCCCAAACUUAAUAUAUUAUUUGUCAUGUUGGGUACAUAACAAAUAAUGUUCAAGAUAAAUCGAUGCAUUCCAUUCUUAUUUUACCUUUGCCUAGAUAUAUAAUAAUUCUUUCCCCACAAAAUGGACUUAACUUUGAACAGUUCCAAAGAUGGGUGAGCCCCAAAAAAAUGGCUAUUUGGACAAACUCUAAGGGUUGUUUGGGCUUGUCCAUUAAUUUGGGACAUGAAACCCACUAAAGGCUAAAGCCAGAAGCAGACUAGUCUUAUCCAAGAAGGUAGAACAUAAAAGUAUAUUACACACAAACGUUAUGGUAAUAGUUAAAAUAAAACUUUUGUUCAAUCACUCUUAAAUCUUACAAAAACCUUAUAAUUUCAGGGUAAUACUUCUUAGGAAGAUCAGUUUUCCCAUCUUCUCUACGCAUACAAUGAAGCUUCCAACCUGAAGAGAGAUACACCAAAGAAGAAGAAAAACAGAGCAGAAAGGCUUUCAUUCAUACUCAAAACUACAAUAUUUAUAAAGAAAUCAUCAGCUUCUAUGUAGAAGCCAAUGACCCAAUAUCAUACCCAGACCAAAUUCACAGAAAUCCCAAUUAGAUCAGCUUAUCUGCAAUUACCCACUCAGAAUCACGGAGAUUUAAGCGAUCUUGACCUCAAUGGUCUUGGGCUUCUUGGGCUCCGGCGGUGGUAGCUUCUCAACGGUGACGGUCAGUACUCCAUCUUGACAAACCGCGGAGAUCUUAUCAGUAUUCGCAUUCUCCGGCAACGCAAACUUCCUCAUAAACUUGCCUACCCUCCUCUCCAUUCUCACGUACUUGACGCCUUCCUUCUCUUCCUCGCGCUUCCUCUCUCCGCUGAUCACCAGCACAUUGUCGUCCUCCACCUGAACCUUGAUGUCGCCGGACUUCAGCCCCGGCAUGUCGACGAUGAAGGUGUAGGAAUUCGGGUACUCCUUGACGUCAGCAGGCGUCGCCGCCAUGGCCUUGGCGUCGCGGACGUAGGUGCGAGUGGGGGCGCUGACGGACUUGUCGGAGUCAUCGGUGGCGUCUAGCAUGUGUUGGAGGGCAGAGAAGAGUGGAGAAUCGAAGCCCAUCAUCCUCGAAUCCAUGUUGGGUGUCAGAGAUUUGUUGGUGUGAGAUUGUGAACAACUGCAAUUGCGAAUGUAGAAGUGCUUGAAUGUUGGAAGAAAUCGGAGGCAGUGAUGUGGAUUUUAUAGAAGACGAGUUGGGAAACAGAGGAAGGUUCUGGAAAGAACAAGAAGAGGAGAAUUGGGGGUUUGUCUUUGUUGGCUCUGCUCCAACGGUUCCAGAACCAGAAGUUUGUGGAAGUUUCUCCUAAAUGACUAAAGUACCCCUUAUUUGUUCAUAAAAAAUUACCUUUUGAAAGAAGUUCCAUUUCUACUUACACAGUAGUUCACAAAUCUUUUAUCAUAUUAUUAUCAACAAGCUAUGGUUUUGAUCAAUGCUUGGUGUAAAUUUUUAUUUUGAUUUUAGAAGAAAAAAAAAGACAUAAUUUUAAAAGGUAUUAUUAUAGUAAAAGUUAAAAUAAAUUUUUUAAAUAAAAUCAUUUUUUAGGAAAUGUUUAAAAAACCAACUUAAUAAUUUAAAGUGAAUUAAUAAUUUAAUUUAAGUUAUUAAGUAAAUUAAGUAUGUUUGGUAAAAUAACUUAAUGAUAUCACUAAAAAUAAAAAUAAAAAUUAAUUUUUAAAUAAAAAUAAUUAACUUAUUCUUAAAUCUAUAUUUUUAUUUUUAUUUACCAUCAUUUAUCCGAAUUAUUCUCAUAAUCUAUUUUACUACUUCAUGAUUUCCAUUGUUACUUAAACUACUUUGUCCUCAUUAUAAUUUAUGAAAAUAAUCAUAUCAAUUUGAUGAUUUACAAUAAAUUUUCAGUUAAUUUUAUUAAACAACCUUAAUAUUUGAAAUGAGAAUUAAGUAAUAAGUUUUAAGACUAAUAAUUUAAGUAUAAUUUAACUUAAAAUCAACUUAAAUAAUUAAAUAAUAAGUAAUAAGUUUUACCAAAUAUCAUUUUAAUAUUGUUCUUAUAAUAAAGUUAGUUAAAUAAAUAUAAGAAUUUUUAUUAAUCAUAUAAUAGAGUUUUUGAACUUAGAUUCACUUCAAUCCAACUUGUGUUUUAUCUUUUAAAAUUUAAAAGUUAAACAUAUCUAAGCAUCAACAAUUUAAAAAAAUUUGCUCUUUAUUUCUAAAUCGUACAUUAAUAAUAAUAGACUAAUCAAUUAUGAGUAUGGAUAAUUUGCCCCUUAUAAAUUGUUGGUUUAAGGGUAUGAAAAAAAGGACUAGUCCAAAGCACACAAAUAAAUAACGUAAUGAAUAGUAAGAAAAAUUUAUAGGUUGAGGUGUAACAAACAUUGUCCUUAAAAUAGAUCAACUCUCCUCGAAGACGAACUUGGUACACUUAGGUACUAGUGGUCCACCUUCAGGAUUCAAUAGUCAUUGAGUGCACUUUGUAAGCGAGACGUGUACAACUCAGGUUCAUGAAAAAUUCGUAUUCAUAUUUAGAGAGUGAUGAGUGAUAUGCUUUUAUGACUAAUAAAAUAAGAUAAAAAAAAAAAAGUAGCAUAGAUCAUCGCACACGUACGCAAAGGGCCUUCCACGCAAGAUGCAUGUGGGGAUCGAAGCCCCACUCAAAUGGGUUUGGCCCCAAUGGGCGCGCAAGACUCACCCACACCUCUUCACAAGCCCAUUGGGCUAAGGAAGGUUAAUAAACCCAUUAAAGAUGUUCAUCUCUUUCCUAUGUCGACAAGCAAAAAAUACUUUUCACAUUUACACUCUUCCUGCUAUGCAAGUCAAGUUGGGUACAUUUUGUUUGGAUUGAACAAGGUGUAGAAGGAUUAAAUAGAAGUACAUCAUUGAUGAUAAUAUUGCUUAAAUUUAUUUAAAGUCUUUAAUAACUUUUCAGCUUUGUAACUUCAUUAUUCUAAUACCAGUCAUUACAUUUGAUCAUUUUCAAAGAGAACAACUCUUCCCUGAGACAAAUAUGGUGUCACUCUCCCAAUCUAAAUUACAAAUUUAGAUUAUCAAAUUCCCUACCCAAAAUCUAAUCUUCCCAAUUUAAAAAAGACUUGUAGUGAAGUUGUCAACCAGAGGAAAUACCACACCUUACUAUGGCUUUUUAAUUGCCGUUAAAUCUUAAAAAUUUUCCAGGAAAAAUGAAAACGAGGCAAGGAAGAGAAAAGGCAGACUUCAUUGACGGUACUGAAAAAUCAAAACUACACAUUAUACUGUAAUGAAGAGAUCAGUAUCUUCAUCACCCCAAGCCAUUGACCCAAGAUCAAACCCAAACAAAGGCCCCUGUGGCAUUAUUUACUAUUAAAAACCCAGAAAAACCCUCCCAAAACCCCCUACAUUUCAAGCAAUUUUGACCUCAAUGGUCUUGGGCUUCUUGGGCUCCGGCGGUGGCAGCUUCUCAACGGUGACGGUCAACACCCCAUCUUGACAUACAGCAGAGAUCUUAUCAGUAUUCGCAUUCUCCGGCAACACGAACUUCCUCAUAAACUUCCCCACUCUCCUCUCCAUUCUUACGUACUUGGCACCUUCCUUCUCCUCCUCCCGCUUCCUCUCUCCGCUGAUCACCAGCACAUUGCCGUCCUCCACCUGAACCUUGAUGUCGCCGGACCUCAGCCCCGGCAUGUCGACGAUGAAGGUGUAGGAAUUCGGGUACUCCUUGACGUCAGCCGGCGUCGCCGCCAUGGCCUUGGCGUCCCGGACGUAGGUGCGGGUGGGAGCGUUGAGAGACUUGUCGGAAUCGUCGCCGGCGUCGAGCAUGUGUUGGAGGGUUGAGAAGAGUGGAGAAUCAAAACCCAUGACCCUCAAAUCCAUUUUGCUUUUCAGCGAUUAGUCUCUGAGAUCUGCUAAGAUUUGU
rnacentral:lncRNA from 1 species